UACGGAGGGGGCUAGCGUUGUUCGGAAUUACUGGGCGUAAAGCGCACGUAGGCGGCUUUGUAAGUUAGAGGUGAAAGCCCGGAGCUCAACUCCGGAAUUGCCUUUAAGACUGCAUCGCUAGAAUUGUGGAGAGGUGAGUGGAAUUCCGAGUGUAGAGGUGAAAUUCGUAGAUAUUGGGAGGAACACCGGUGGCGAAGGCGGCCACCUGGACGGUAACUGACGCUAAGACGCGAAAGCGUGGGGAGCAAACAGG
rnacentral:rRNA from 1 species